UGGAUGUUUGUCUGAGUGUUUCUGUGUGAGCGGCGCCGCAUUCGUCAGUCUGUGUCUGUCUCUGUUUUGGUUCCACCGUGUGUGUAUAUAUGUGUGUCUUAGUACUGGUCAGUGUUAAGAGGGCAGAUGGGUAUUCCUGCCCUGUGGUAAGAGGGCAGAUGGGUAUUCCUGCCCUGUGGUAAGAGGGUGGAUGUGUAUUCCUGCCCUGUAGGAGAGUGGAUGUGUAUCCCCACUCAGUGCAGCUGCCUUUGUGGUCCGUGAGGACCCCCUGGCUGCGGAAGGGGGGACGCCCCGGGCCCGCAAGGCUGCAGCCCCUGGAAGACGUUCCACGGGCGGAGAACAGUCGGGAGAGCCCGGCUAUGGACAGUCAGGAGGACCUGACUCUGGUUUUCUGGAACAAAGGAGAUGGAAUGCUCCUUUUACCUAGGCGGGAGUGGACGAGGAAUCCCACUCCGUCAGAGGUCGAGUUCGGCUGCCUAUUUAAAUAUAGGCACGGACAAGUGUGCUUAGUCGUUAGGACAAGAGGACACUCUGGAAUCCUGUUGGGAGGUGGAAUCAGAUGGUCCAUCUCAUCCCAAAAGCAGCUAAGGUUAAGCUGCAGUUUGGGCCACGUACUGAAGGUACCAGGCAUCUGUGAAAGUUGGUUAUAAGAUGCUUUGUCUUGAUAUUGUUUGUCUGGCUUGUUUUCUGUGGUAUUGUCGAGUGUCUUUUUGGCUUUUGUUUCGUUUUUGAAUUUUGGACUGACGACUGUGUUUGAAUUUGGACUGACGACUGUGUUUAAAAUCUUGGACUGAUGACUGUGUUUGAAAUCAUGAAACUGUUUGCUUUGUUCGUCAUAGAGUUUUACUUGGUCCUCUUGGUGCUUAAGUUAAGAGUUAAAAAUAAUUUGCUUGAGAAAAAUUGUUUUCUGCCAAGGAGUUUUGUCUUUCUCUCCUGAGCCUCCUCCCCAAGGAGAGAGGCCCCUCCCUUUACUCCCCUUGAUCAGCCUAGCUGCUGUUAACAGUUGUGUAAACAGACAUUAACAAAAACCUUGAGGACAAAACUGCUCGUAAAUAAAAAAGUUCCCCAGAUUAGGCCUCCGGUAUGAAACAAGUAUAGUGAGUAAGAAACUUAAUUUUAUGGACCCCGCUCUAGUGUCGGUGUUUUGGUUGAUAGCCAACGUUAAUUUUUUAAAACAUAGUGUUUUAUCUGUGCUUGUGCUCGCAACACACAGUAGGGGGGAGCGAAAUUAGCUGCGGAGCUGCUACAGCGAGCAUGGGGACUUCUCAAGUCUCUCCCAAUUUUUCUGGCUCUUCAGGAGCUGUUUAAAAGAAAAAGGCUUAAGGUAAAAAGAAACACUAUAAAAAGAUUUCUUAGUGAAUUACUACACCUUGGUUUGCGAUCUCUGGGAAUCUCAUGGUAGACAGCUGAGAUAAGCUGGAAAAGGAUUUAAAUUUUGCUUAGAAACAAAGAAUCUUAAAGGUGGAGUUUCAGCCGGUAUGACACUUAGUGCAUAGCUGCCUAAAAGAUCAGAAAUGCUGUCAACAGGCUAUAAAAAAGGGACAGGCUGUGUUAAAAAUGCUACAUAAAGAAUAAUCUAAAAAGGCUGAGAGUGAGGUGGGAGAGGACUCUAAGAAAAACAAGAACAAGAAAGGAAUUUCUGCUUUUAGUGACCAGACCUUCAACUCUUGCUCACAGAAAGAGGGUGCUCAUUAAGAGAAGUUCUUUAAGGAGCCUGCCUUAUCUGCUGGCCCUAUUCCAAGAGAGGAGCCAGUCUCCAGCAUUAAAUUACUUUUCUCACUGGUCAUCAUUAGCAUGGAGAAUGCCUUUGAUCCUAUCCCCACAGCAGCCAGUUCCUGCCCCUGUGGUAGAAAUGUCCCAGGUUGGGGGGCAGAGAAGCCCCUAAAAUAGUUUCAAAGAAUCUACAACAAACUGUAAAGAACUUUGUUUUGUUUUGCCAGUUUGAAUUUAGAAUUCAGGCUUUGGCUGUGGCCGAGGUCAGGAUUAAUGUUUUCGUUUCCAUGGGCCCUUAGCCCACUGAGACAGUUUGGUAAAGGACUACUACUACAGUCCUGAUAUUCAGAGACAUGGAGAGAGCUAUAGUUUUUUUUAUUAAAGGCUAAAAGACCUACAGGUGAUACAGAAAGAAAUCUGCUCACAGCUGACAGCAGCCUAUGCCCCGGAGACCCCUGAGACAUCCCAUCAGUUCCAGGUCGGAAGCAGCUACACUGAGCCCAGACACUCGAUCCUCGCUGGAAAGGACCAUACCUGGUGCUGCUGACCACCCUGACAGCCGUCAAUUCUCAGCCCUCACCAGCCGUGUACUAGCUGUUAGGGCUGAGAGCUGGGACCUAGAGAGAAAUUCAGUCAUGUUUGUCCUGGGUUCUAUCAAGAUAGGUGUGGGAUAGGCUUGAUUUCUAUUACAAAUGAUGUAACAUUACAUAUGUUAAUACUCCUAACACUUCUUGGGACUGUGCCUCAGGGAUCACAACCUAUAUAAGUUUAGAAGUUCUGAAAGACAGUCAUGACCUUGGUAUAUAGGUUUAGAUAGUGUCCAGAUAAAAUCCUGAUGCUAAAGACUUUUUAGCUGACCUCCAAGAAUACCUAACCUCCCUCUCAGAGGUAGUCCUUCAAAAUAAGAAAAGAUUAGACCUGAUAUUCCUUAAAGAAGGAGUCUGUGUGCUACACUGAAAGAAUGUUGCUUCUAUACAGACCAUUCAGGAGUAAUUAAAGACUCCAUAAAUAAACUUAGAAAAAGGUUAGACAAAAGACAGACAGAAAAACACAUCAGAGAUGGUUCGAGAGCUAGUUUAGUAGAUCUCCCUAGAUGACUACCCUACUCUCUGCUACAGCUGGGCCAUUAUUAAUAAUUUUCUUGGUUUUAGUCUUUGGCUCCUGCGUGACAAACAGGUUAAUUGCUUUUGUUAAAAAUUGAGUGGGUGCUGUGCGGUUGAUGGUUGUGAGACAACAGUACCAGUCAGUUAGGACAACUGGUGAGACCAAAUAAGACUUGAUAUCAAAAUUCUAAGAUUAGAAUUAUUUAGUAGGAGAAGACGGGAAUGAAAAGAAAAUUAUACAAAUUCUAGGUUUAGAAAUAUAAAAUUAAAAGAGUUAGCCCCAAAAGCCACAAACUCAGGGCUAAGCCCUGCCGCCAGGAAUAGCAGGCCAUAAAGAUAAAGAAAAGGAAUGCAGGAUCCAGCUCAGGCUAUCGAGGACUGACCCAUAAACCAUCCAAAGACGUCCCCCCAGCUUACUCAGAGUCAUACUUUAACCAGAUGUCCUCCAGACCCUGAUAAGCCCCUACUUGUGCUUUUCAGCCAUUGUGUCCUGCAGAGAGCACUCCAAGAAACCGGGCAGCCCAAGCCUAACCAGAGGUGUUUCAAAUACAAAUGCUCCAUCAGUUUUGACAAACGUUUAAAAAUAAUGAGGACCUGAAGACCCUACCCUUCUCCUGAUUUAGUAGCUCUGUUCCAGGAACCAGGGGGCCAUAAAACCUUCUGGCGUCCCCUUAUCUCCUGGAGCCAUAAAACAAUCUUGUAACUUGUGGUACAUUCCCCUUUGACAUACCCCAUCCCCUGGUGCUCACAGCCUCUGCCUUUAAAUACUCUUUUUCCCAGCCUCUCGGGGCCGACACCUCUGUCUCCUGCGCGGGAUACGUGUCGGCCCGGAGAUCUCUGUAAUAGGUCUCCGUAAUAAACCUCGCCUUUGUUUAUUAUA